rnacentral:lncRNA from 1 species
AGAGCAUAAUUUAUAAAAAAUUUAUUUAUCAAUGAUAAAACCCUUUACUGUCCACUUACCUCAAUGAGAUUCAUGAAAACAACUUAUAAAAACAAUAACAUUAUAAUAUCAUGAAAUCAUAUGCACUCUGUAACAUAACACGUGUCAUACUUUUAAUGUUUCAAUCAUCAGGCAAAAACUUUCAUCUUUUAUCAGCCUACCAGUAU